GACGAACGUUGGCGGCGUGCUUAACACAUGCAAGUCGAACGGUGAAGCGCCUUCCUUUUUGGUGGGUGUGGAUGAGUGGCGAACGGGUGAGUAACACGUGAGUAACCUGCCCCCUUCUUCUGGAUAACCGCAUGAAAGUGUGGCUAAUACGGGAUAUUCUGGGUCUGUCGCAUGAUGGGUCUGGGAAAGAUAUUGUUUCGGUGGGGGAUGGGCUCGCGGCCUAUCAGCUUGUUGGUGGGGUGAUGGCCUACCAAGGCGGUGACGGGUAGCCGGCCUGAGAGGGUGGACGGUCACACUGGGACUGAGACACGGCCCAGACUCCUACGGGAGGCAGCAGUGGAGAAUAUUGCACAAUGGGCGCAAGCCUGAUGCAGCGACGCCGCGGGAGGGAUGGAGGCCUUCGGGUUGUGAACCUCUUUCGCCAGUGAAGCAGGCCUGCCUCGUUUGUGGGUGGGUUGACGGUAGCUGGAGAAGAAGCGCCGGCUAACUACGUG
rnacentral:rRNA from 1 species